GAGAAAGGAAAGGUCUUUCGUCUAGACCCGCAGGUCGGAGGGUGAAGUGACUUUCACAGUUGUGACUGGAGGGGCCAGAACGGUCUCCUUGACAGCCGGCCCGGAGCGCCUGUGACUACAAGGUUCGCACACCUUGUUGGGUUUUAUCCCUGGAUCGACUGGACACUCGGAGUUCCAGUUCCUGGUCUCUAAGCUGUGGCGACGGAGCUCCGGACAGACCCUCUUGAGCCCCUCGCCGAGAGCCAGCUCGCGCAAGGACCAGUGUUCCACGCCCCCGCCACCCUCGUCACCGCGGGGAACUCUGCGCCGGCGGCCGGCAGGCAGGUGGGCGAGCGCGCCGGCCAGAUUCUAGCUACAUCAGAAACUGGUCAUUUUCUAAAACUAAAGGAGAAAACUAGGAAGGGGUGAUGAAUUCUUUCUGAGUUUCGAGUUACAAAAUAAAACGUAAGUAUUGAUGAUUUCA
rnacentral:lncRNA from 1 species